rnacentral:rRNA from 1 species
GAUGAACGCUGGCGGCGUGCCUAAUACAUGCAAGUCGAGCGAACAGACGAGGAACUUGCUCCUCUGACGUUAGCGGCGGACGGGUGAGUAACACGUGGAUAACCUACCUAUAAGACUGGGAUAACUUCGGGAAACCGGAGCUAAUACCGGAUAAUAUAUUGAACCGCAUGGUUCAAUAGUGAAAGACGGUUUUGCUGUCACUUAUAGAUGGAUCCGCGCCGCAUUAGCUAGUUGGUAAGGUAACGGCUUACCAAGGCAACGAUGCGUAGCCGACCUGAGAGGGUGAUCGGCCACACUGGAACUGAGACACGGUCCAGACUCCUACGGGAGGCAGCAGUAGGGAAUCUUCCGCAAUAGGCGAAAGCCUGACGGAGCAACGCCGCGUGAGUGAUGAAGGUCUUCGGAUCGUAAAACUCUGUUAUUAGGGAAGAAUAAAUGUGUAAGUAACUAUGCACGUCUUGACGGUACCUAAUCAGAAAGCCACGGCUAACUACGUG